CAAGCUAUCCUCCCUCCUGGGCCUCUCAGAGUGCUAGGAUUGCAGGUGUGAGCCACCGCGCCCGGCCUCAAGCUGUCUUCUGAGGUAGAUUUCUGAUAAGCGGCAUAUUGGUGGGUAUUGUUUUUUUAAUGUAGUCUGAUAAUCUCUGCCUUUUAACUGGAACAUUUAGACUGUUUAUGUUUUAUAUAAUUAUUGAUGUGGCUGUGUCCUAUUUGUACUUUCUUCCUUUUUUUUCUUGUUCUGCCUUCUGUUGGAUGAAUUGAACAUAUUUCCAUAAUCCCAGUUUACUGAACCUAUCUGCUUAGCAGUUAUCCCUGCUGGAGACUUUGCAGCAACUGCUCAGAGGCACAGGACUUGCAUUCUCACCCCCCACAAGGACGCAGCAGGUCUCUGCCUGAGAUCUGGGGCUGGGGACAGUCUCCUGUCCUCUUGGCAGCCAAUGGCUCUGCUGUUUACUGGAAAAGGUGAGGGAGCCAGACUGGGUCCUGCUGUGUCCCUUGGGGGGGCUUGCCUGGGUCUCCUGCCCUGUGUUUCCUCCCAGAAGCAUACGGCAGCUAGUGCAGGCCUACGGAAAGGACCAGAGCGUGAACACAGACUCCCUUUGCGUCUGGGGUCUGCAAGGAGUCAGAGCCAGCACCCGAGCCUCCUCCAUUCUGCCUUUGAGAAUUCAUCACACCCUUGGCUGCGUUCUUUUCCUCUGCUUCUAGGGCCACAGAAGUUUCAGUCUAGAGUCAUCGGAGGCCUUCCGUGUUCCUUCGUUCGGUUUAAUGCAAGAACCAGGGGCAGAUGGUAUGAUGUUAACAGAUGGAGAAGAAACCAGAAUGACUCAAUUUAUACUUUCUUUUUCAUCUCCUUUAUGUAAAAAAAUGGUGUUCAAACAGAAAGGACAGAGAAAACUUGUGAGAACUGAAAUCUCAAAGAGAAAAUAACAUGGGACACCUGCUUUUUGCAACAGGAUAGAAGUUGUCAGGCCCAGAUGAUCGCAAAGAUCUUGGCGAAGAGAUGUUAGAGCUCUUGGAGGCAAUCCCUGUGGCGUCGUGAAGAAUGAGAGAUCGCAGGAGAAAAGAGGUGGACAGGUGUCCUGGCUCUCAAGGGUCCUCGUUGCAUCCAGGGAGAUACACAGAGCCAGACAGUGAGAGUGAUGCCAGGGGAAGAGAAAGGCAAUGGAAAAUCAAACUUUAAAAUAAAAUGUGAACUCCGUAAGAACAUGGAACCUUCCCAGUUGUGAACUAUUUGUGAAACCAAACCUAGAAGCCUGCAAAGCCCCCUGUAAAUCUUCAUGAUUGGACUAGGUCUUCCUCAAGGACGGAAGUUUCCGCAAACGUUGUAUGAAUCUGCAUUGAAACUGCUCUCAAAUCCGACUCCCAGUUGUCAUCGUCACAGACGCAGCAGAACAGGAGCCUCGUCUGCUCCCACCUCUGACAAGGCGUGUUACUGCACUGAGGCUGCGCCUCCUCCCACCAGUCUGUGGGUGACAGGGGGACGGGACCCAGGGGACGGCAGGGAGGCCACAGAGUGUUCCCAGACCCCAGGCAAAGCUGCGCUCCAAAGCUUAGUCUCAAAUAGACUUGGGGUGCUGCUGGGGAAGGGGGGCCCAGCUUGUGAAGCUUUCUGACCGAAUCCAGC